rnacentral:rRNA from 1 species
AUGCAGUCGACGCACGAAGUUGAAGAGCUUGCUCUUUAACCAAGUGAGUGGCGGACGGGUGAGUAACACGUGGGUAACCUGCCCAUUAGAGGGGGAUAACAUUCGGAAACGGAUGCUAAUACCGCAUAGUUUCAGGAAUCGCAUGAUUCUUGAAGGAAAGGUGGCUUCGGCUACCACUAAUGGAUGGACCCGCGGCGUAUUAGCUAGUUGGUGAGGUAAUGGCUCACCAAGGCAAUGAUACGUAGCCGACCUGAGAGGGUGAUCGGCCACACUGGGACUGAGACACGGCCCAGACUCCUACGGGAGGCAGCAGUAGGGAAUCUUCCGCAAUGGACGAAAGUCUGACGGAGCAACGCCGCGUGAGUGAAGAAGGUUUUCGGAUCGUAAAACUCUGUUGUUAAAGAAGAACAAGGAUGAGAGUAACUGCUCAUCCCCUGACGGUAUUUAACCAGAAAGCCACGGCUAACUACGUGCCAGCAGCCGCGGUAAUACGUAGGUGGCAAGCGUUGUCCGGAUUUAUUGGGCGUAAAGCGAGCGCAGGCGGUUCUUUAAGUCUGAUGUGAAAGCCCCCGGCUCAACCGGGGAGGGUCAUUGGAAACUGGAGAACUUGAGUGCAGAAGAGGAGAGUGGAAUUCCACGUGUAGCGGUGAAAUGCGUAGA